GCCCAAAGUCUACACCAAGGCGCAUCCACCAAAUUCAGCAGCCUCGUUGAAAGAUGCAAAGAGGAAAGAGCAGAAUAGAGAGUUUGGAUUUGGGUUCAGUUGGAUGGUCACUCUUUUUGUGCAUAUAUAGCAACCAUGGCUUGUUUGUAAACUCAUUUGGAUCCAUUUUCCGACGGCGGCGGCGGCGGUGGUGGUGGUGGGUGGUGUUUUUCGUGUAGUUUGAUAAGACGAAACUUUGUAAAUUGCAAUAAGAAUGAUCAAAAUUGUCUUGUUUGUC
rnacentral:misc_RNA from 1 species